CUUCUGUCCCUGCUUAUCUGUACUUUCUAAGAUACUCUGCACGAUAGGGCUAAAAGAAGGAAGCUCACUUAAAGAAAACAAAGAAAACGAAACUGGCGAGGUCCCCUUUCUGGUCCCGGUCGCGGUUCUUCCGGGCUCGGCGCCCCACCCGCCAGCGGCCCUUCCCGCCUGUUAGCGCGGCAGCCAAUCAGCUUGUCAGGCAGUGUCCCCCACGCGCUGGGAGCCACCCUGAGCGUUUUGCUCGACUGUCCUUUAUUUGGCUCAUCACAACCGAAGGGGUAUCGGGCUUUCUACUCAGGACUCUCUCCAGCUGUACUCGCCUUGUUCCAACCUCACCGCUAUCCCCUGGACUUAAAGCCCAGUCGCCGCUGGGGACCGGGUAAGAGCCAUCUGUGCACCUAAAUGAGCGUGGCGCGGAAGAUCCGGAGGCAGAUUCGGACACACUCCCCGAUCAUCUGGGAUGAUCGGUCCGGAGCCAGCGCCAUUGGCUUCUCUCAAAGGCUUCCCUGAUGGCUCAGUGGUAAAGAAUCCACCUUGCAAUGCAAUGGACACAGGUUCAAUCCCUGGUCUGGGAAGAUCCCACAUGCCUCAAAGCAAAUAAGGCCACACGCCACAACUACUCAGCCUGUAUUCCAGAGCCCACGAGCCGCAACUACUGAAGCCCGUGGAUUCUGGAGCCUGUGUUCCACAACAAGAAAAGCCACUACAACGAGAAGCCCUCGGCACUGCAAUGAAAGAGUAACCCCUGCUCACUGCAACUAGAGAAAGUCCAUGCAGCAACAAAGACCCAGUACAGCCAAAAAGAAAUAAAUAAAACAUAGUCGAUCAGGGAAUUCCCUGGCAAUCUAGUGGUUAGGACUCAGUGGUUUCAUUUAUUGCUAAGGCCCAGAUUCAAUCCCUAGUUGGGAAACUAAGACUCUGUAAGCCAAGCAACUCAGCUAAAACACCAAAAGAACCCAGGAAACAAUAGUCAUAUCACCUUCUUUUCAGUACCUAUUUUCUAUUUUUCCUGCUCAACUGGACUAGCUAGAACCUCUUGGGAAGCAAUGAAUAAGUGUUGAUAGUAGGCACUCUUCCUGUGUUCACUAUCUUAAGGGGAUAUCUCAAUAGUUUCUCAGCAUGAAAACUAUUUGCUGUGUGUUUUCUCAUAAACUCCUUUUAUCACUUCCCAAAAGUUUGGUCAUAGUUCUAAUUGGCUAAGAGGUUUUAUCACGAAUGAAUAUCCAAAACUUAUUAUAUAUAAAUGUAUUAUAUAUUUAUUAUAUAUAUAUAUAUCAAGUGAUUUUUCUCAUUUGAUCUUCUAAUCUGUCAAGUUACAAACUGAUUGAUUUUCUAGUGCUAAAAUGAACAUUAAAUUCCUCAUUUAGAUACAGUGCUGUGUGUCAAUUAUAUCUCAGCAAAACUAGAAGAAAAAAAUAAAUGAAUUCCUGAUUCAAAUCACCUUGGCCAUGAUGUUUUAUCAUUUUUAGAUAUUGUUGGAUUUGGUUUGCUAAAAUUUUAUUUAGAUUUUUUUUCAUCUAGACAUUGAGUGAUGAUGAUCUGCAAUUUUCCUCUCAGGUUUUACUUGUCCAAUUGAUUAUCAAGAUUAUGCUAGCCAGUGUUCAUAGCAGCAAUAUGUACAAUAGCCAAGAGGUAGAAGCAACCCAAGUAUCCCAUCGAUAGAUGGAUGGAUAAAGCAAAUGUGGCAUAUAUAUGUAUAUAUAUGAAUACUACUCACUCAUUUUUUAAAAAGGAUGAAAUAAUGCCAUUUACAGCAACACGGAUGGACCUAGAGAUUAUCAUGUUAAGUGAAGUAAGUCAGACAGAGAAAGACAAAUAUAUGAUAUCACUUAUAUGUGAAAUCUAAAAAGUUAACACAUGUAAACUUGUCUACAAAACAGAAACAGGUUCAUAGACAUAGAAAGCAAUGUUACAGUUUCCAAAGAGGAAAUGGGUAGGAGAGGGAUAAAUUAGGAGUUGGAGAUUAAUUACACACUUCUAUAUAUAAAGCGGCUUCCCUGAUAGCUCAGUUGGUAAAGAAUCCGCCUGCAAUGCAGGAGACCCCAGUUCGAUUCCUGGGUUGGGAAGACCCGCUGGAGAAGGGAUAGGCUACCCACUCUAGUAUUCUUGGGCUUCCCUUGUGGCUCAGCUGGCAAAGAAUCUACCUACAGUGAGGGAGAUCUGGGUUCGAUCCCUGGGGAUCUUCCAGACCCAGUGAUCAAACUCAGGUCUCCUGCUUUGUAGGUGGAUUCUUUACUGUUUGAGCCAAGAGGGAAGAAGUAUGAUGUCUGCAACUUACUCUCAAAUAUUUCAGGGGGGAAAAAAUGGCAGUAGAAGGAAGAUAAGGAGAAAAAAGCUGUCAGGAUAACCCGUGGUCAAAGGAUUCUGGGCACAGUGUUAUCUAAUAUGUAAUUUAAAAUAUUUCCCUCUAACUCUAAGCGAGUCUUUCCUAUGUUUUGCUAAAAUCGGG
ensembl:lncRNA